GAGCUCAUCACAUCUUCCAAGUGUUUUUCUUAAUUCCAUUUAACAGUUUGAGAGGUGCAUGGUUUGGGACUACUUCUCACAGCUGACUGCUCUGGGAAGAGGACUAAAGGUCUGUCAUACAGCCUCCAUCCAUCUGACAACAGGAGAGCAGGACAGGCACUGAGAAAAUAGUGACGCACGUGGCAGUUUUUUUCAGCGGGACAUUCUUACAUUGUUCCUGUCUAUCUUUUCUAUUUAUGAAAAAUAAAUAGAUGCCAGCUUCCAGAGAUAA